GUGGCUAUAGUAUAGUGGUCAGUACGUAUCGUUGUGGAGCAGUUGUCGCUUCUACAACAAUUACCGAUGAGACGCCGGUUCGAUUCCGGCUAGCCACA